GACGAACGCUGACGGCGUGCCUAACACAUGCAAGUCAAGGGGCCUUCGGGUCACUGGCGCACGGGUGAGUAACGCGUAGAUUAUCUACCCAUAUCUCUGACAUAACUGCUGGAAACGGUAGCUAAUAUCAGAUGAGGCCUACGGGUCAAAGUUUUAAUGGAUAUGGAUGAGUCUGCGUCUGAUUAGCUAGUUGGUAGUGUAAUGGACUACCAAGGCUACGAUCAGUAACUGGUCUGAGAGGACGAUCAGUCACACUGGAACUGAGACACGGUCCAGACUCCUACGGGAGGCAGCAGUGAGGAAUUUUGGACAAUGGGGGAAACCCUGAUCCAGCGACGCCGUGUGUGGGAUGAAUCGGUUAUACCGUGUAAACCACUGUCAGAUGGGAAAAAAGAAUCUUCUGGAUUCUGGGAUUGUACCAUCAGAGGAAGGACCGGCUAACUACGUGCCAGCAGCCGCGGUAAAGUAGACGUC
rnacentral:rRNA from 1 species